rnacentral:rRNA from 1 species
UACGUAGGAUCCAAGCGUUAUCCGGAAUCAUUGGGUUUAAAGGGUCCGUAGGUGGACGGUUAAGUCAGGGGUGAAAGUCUGCAGCUCAACUGUAGAAUUGCCCUUGAUACUGGUCGUCUUGAAUCAUUGUGAAGUGGUUAGAAUAUGUGGUGUAGCGGUGAAAUGCAUAGAUAUCACAUAGAAUACCGAUUGCGAAGGCAGAUCACUAACAAUGCAUUGACACUGAUGGACGAAAGCGUGGGGAGCGAACAGG